UGCUCAGCCUCAGGCUGGAGCUGGGAAGGCCAUUUUGGAGUGUGGGAAAAGAACUGAAUGAUGAAAACUUUGACAUCAAGGAAAAAUGGAUCUAGCAAUGGAA